rnacentral:rRNA from 1 species
AUCUUAAAUCUAGCUUAAAUAUAAAAAACUACCCCUUAACCCCC